rnacentral:misc_RNA from 1 species
AGAAAGCAGCCAAAUAUAAAUGAUAAUAAUUUAUUAGUGUGAUUAAAAGUUUAAAAUUUUAGGUGAGGCAUCUAAGAAUAGUUUCAUAUCUCUAAGAAACCCCCACACACAAAUGCUCACUAGCUUUAAGCAUGAACAAGCACAGGUCCAAUUUGGCUUAUGUUUAAAUAUUUAAUUAAUAUAAUUAAUAAAUGGGCUUGCUAGGAUUCAAAUUUUAGGCCUUUUAAUUUGAAAGUCUCUGGUACCACGUCAAUAAACCACUCAACUUAAAAGUUUAAGCUUAUAGAGGGUAGGGCUUUUCUAACAAACUUAAAACAAUCAACUCAUAAAAAGAAGGGGGGAUGAUUGCACGAGAUGUUCCAGUGCUUCUUAUUUACAGAUAGCAGAAUGUCCAUGCAUGA